rnacentral:tRNA from 1 species
GCAGAGAUGGCUCAGUGGUUAAGAGCACUGACUGCUCUAAACCAGAGGUCCUGAGUUCAAAUCCCAGAAACCACA